CACGUAGGGCGCGAGCGUUGUCCGGAAUUAUUGGGCGUAAAGAGCUCGUAGGCGGCCUGUUGCGUCCGCUGUGAAAGCCCGGGGCUUAACCCCGGGUCUGCAGUGGAUACGGGCAGGCUAGAGGUAGGUAGGGGAGAAUGGAAUUCCCGGUGUAGCGGUGAAAUGCGCAGAUAUCGGGAGGAACACCGGUGGCGAAGGCGGUUCUCUGGACCGAUACUUACGCUGAGGCGCGAAAGCGUGGGGAGCAAACAGG
rnacentral:rRNA from 1 species